GGGUCGGUAGCUCAGCUGGUAGAGCAGUGCCCUUUUAAGGCAUUGGCCGAGGGUUCAAAUCCCUCCCGACCCACCA
rnacentral:tRNA from 1 species